ACUACACCACCAACGCCUCGGCAGGAAAAAGAGUCUCUGGAUACCCUUAAUAGAGGGAUCAAGUAGGGUUGAGGAUCAGGACUGGAUUGGGGAGACCAAGCCUCGGGGCGAAGGUUGGAGGAAGUGGUAAAGGAGUGAGGACAGGAUGCAGGUCGAGGGAGGUGGCCUCUGUGCAUAUACAGCAUUUGCAUGGGGAGAGGGAGGAGAUCGGGACCUCCAGAGCCUGCACGAAAGGGGAGAGGGUGUCAAGGUCUGCAGCUACGAGGACGUUCUUGGGUGCGGCCACCUCCGGAAGGGGUCAGAGCCUGGUGGCCUGGGCAGCAACGGGAUGGGUGGGGAAGCCCAUCAGGGAAGGGGAGAAACUGGGAGGUGGCCUGGCCAGCGCAGGAAUCGGGGAGGGAAAGAAGGUGGAGGAGGGCCUGGGGCGGAGAGGAAACGAGGCAGGGGGCCGGAGGGACCCACAGACGGGUGCAUGGAGGCUCCGGGGUGCGGGGAGGCCAGGCGAUGGCGAGGGCAGGGUCAGGGCCGAGGCGGGGCCGGUCAAUGGCGGGUUCAGGGUCGCGGCCGGGGCGGGACGAGGCGCGCGGGCGCUGCUCACCGGGACGUGGGGCGGCGGCCGGACUGGGCAGGUCGUCCCGGGUCCAGCGGCGCCUCACGGUCGCGGCUCCAUGCCCGGGACUGCGACCCCGGAAGUGGCGGGAGCGGGGGACGACAGCCGCGGCGGACACAGGGGACCCGCCGGCUCAGGCACCUUUGACCCGGAAGUUGAGCGACCCAGGCGGCGGCCUGGGAUUGGACACCACCAGGCACGUACCAAGGCGUCCGCGGCGCUUGGGGGGGAGCCCGCGGCGCGGCGGCCUAAGGAAAAACAGCUGACCUGUUUCCGCCCGGGAUCGAACCGGGGACCUUUCGCGUGUGAGGCGAAUGUGAUAACCGCUACACUACGGAAACCGAGAGAGUCUCGUUCUGUCGCCUAGGCUCGAGUGCAGUGGUACGAUCAUCCCUCCCUGCAGCCUCCACCUCCUGGGCUCAAGCGAUCCUCCCACCUCAGCCUCCUGGGUAGCUUGGACCACAGGUGUGGACCACCACGCCUGGCUGAAUUUUAAAAAAUGCGUUUGUAGAGACGGUGCCUUAUAGCUGGGACUACAGGCGUGUGCAACCACUCCCAGCUAACUUUUGUAUUUUUUGUAGAGACUAGAGGGCCUGCACUAUGUUGCCCAGGCUGCUUUCCAGCUCCUGACCUCAACGUGAUUCGCCCGCCUGCAGCCUCCCAAAGUACUGGGAUUACAGGCAUGAGCCACCGCGCCCGACCCCAACUACACUGUAAAAGAGCUUUCUGAAAAGAAAAACUGUGUGUGUAUGUGUUUACCUUCCGAUGGAGUUUUGCUCCUGUUGCCCAGGCUAGA